CGCACAUUGCGCCCCUUGGUAUUCCGGGGGGCAUGCCUGUUCGAGCGUCAUUACAACCCUCAAGCUCUGCUUGGUCUUGGGCGUCACCGGUCCCCGGUGUGCCCUAAAAUCAGUGGCGGCGCCAUCUGGCUCUAAGCGUAGUACAGACUCUCGCUACAGACGCCCGGUGGAUGCUGGCCAGCAACCCCCAACUUAUCAAGGUUGACCUCGGAUCAGGUAGGGAUACCCGCUGAACUUAA
rnacentral:misc_RNA from 1 species